rnacentral:rRNA from 1 species
UAACACGUGGGUAACCUGCCCAAGAGACUGGGAUAACACCUGGAAACAGAUGUUAAUACCGGAUAACAACACUAGACGCAUGUCUAGAGUUUGAAAGAUGGUUCUGCUAUCACUCUUGGAUGGACCUGCGGUGCAUUAGCUAGUUGGUAAGGUAACGGCUUACCAAGGCAAUGAUGCAUAGCCGAGUUGAGAGACUGAUCGGCCACAUUGGGACUGAGACACGGCCCAAACUCCUACGGGAGGCAGCAGUAGGGAAUCUUCCACAAUGGACGAAAGUCUGAUGGAGCAACGCCGCGUGAGUGAAGAAGGGUUUCGGCUCGUAAAGCUCUGUUGGUAGUGAAGAAAGAUAGAGGUAGUAACUGGCCUUUAUUUGACGGUAAUUACUUAGAAAGUCACGGCUAACUACGUGCCAGCAGCCGCGGUAAUACGUAGGUGGCAAGCGUUGUCCGGAUUUAUUGGGCGUAAAGCGAGUGCAGGCGGUUCAAUAAGUCUGAUGUGAAAGCCUUCGGCUCAACCGGAGAAUUGCAUCAGAAACUGUUGAACUUGAGUGCAGAAGAGGAGAGUGGAACUCCAUGUGUAGCGGUGGAAUGCGUAGAUAUAUGGAAGAACACCAGUGGCGAAGGCGGCUCUCUGGUCUGCAACUGACGCUGAGGCUCGAAAGCAUGGGUAGCGAACAGGAUUAGAUACCCUGGU